rnacentral:rRNA from 1 species
CCUACGGGAGGCAGCAGUAAGGAAUAUUGGACAAUGGACGCAAGUCUGAUCCAGCCAUGCCGCGUGAAGGAUUAAGGCCCUCUGGGUUGUAAACUUCUUUUAUAGGGGACGAAAAAAGGGACUUUCUAGCUCGACUGACGGUACCCUAUGAAUAAGCACCGGCUAACUCCGUGCCAGCAGCCGCGGUAAUACGGAGGGUGCAAGCGUUAUCCGGAUUCACUGGGUUUAAAGGGUGCGUAGGCGGGCAGUUAAGUCAGUGGUGAAAUCUUCGAGCUCAACUCGGAAACUGCCAUUGAUACCUAUCUGUCUUGAAUAUUGUGAGGUGAGCGGAAUAUGUCAUGUAGCGGUGAAAUG